CUUGAUGCUAGAGUGGCCCUUCUGAAAUCAACAAACCAUCCUGGUCAGAUGGUUCAAGGGAACCCCGGUAGUGUUAAUGCGGCAUUACAACAAAUCCAGGCUCGAAGUCAACAGACCACAGACAUAAAGAGUGAAGUUAACAUGGGCACUGCUCAGAGAUCUUUGCCUAUGGAUUCUUCAAUUUAUGGGCAGGGAAUGAU